rnacentral:rRNA from 1 species
GGCAGACGGGUGAGUAACAUGUAGGUAUCUUCCCUUUGGCCUGGAAUAACACGAGGAGACUUGUGCUAAUACUGGAUAAGUCUUUACGGAGAAAGCUUUAUGCACCAUUGGAUGAGCCUGCACUUGAUUAGUUUGUUGGUGGGGUAAUGGCCUACCAAGACUGUGAUCAAUAGCUGAUUUGAGAGGAUGAUCAGCCACAUUGGGACUGAGACACGGCCCAAACUCCUACGGGAGGCAGCAGUGGGGAAUCUUGCACAAUGGAGGUAACUCUGAUGCAGCGAUGCCGCGUGAGUGAAGAAGGCCUUUGGGUUGUAAAGCUCUUUCGUCGGGGAAGAAAAUGACUGUACCCGAAUAAGAAGGUCCGGCUAACUUCGUGCCAGCAGCCGCGGUAAUACGAAGGGACCUAGCGUAGUUCGGAAUUACUGGGCUUAAAGAGUUCGUAGGUUGUUGAAAAAGUUGGUGGUGAAAUCCCAGAGCUUAACUCUGGAACUGCCAUCAAAACUUUUCAGCUAGAGUUUGUUAGAGGAAAGCAGAAUUUCUAGUGUAGAGGUGAAAUCCGUAGAUAUUAGGAAGAAUACCAAUUGCGAAGGCCGCUUUCUGGAUCAUUACUGACACUGAGGAACGAAAGCAUGGGUAGCGAAGAGGAUUAGAUACCCUCGUAGUCCAUGCCGUAAACGAUGUG